rnacentral:rRNA from 1 species
AGUGAACGCUGGCGGCGUGCUUAACACAUGCAAGUCGAACGAGAACGGGUUAUAGCUUGCUAUAAUUGUCAGCUAAGUGGCGCACGGGUGAGUAAUGUAAAGGUAAUAUGCCUCUUACUAAGGGAUAACAAAUGGAAACGUUUGCUAAUACCUUAUACUUCUUAUUAACAUAAGUUAAUAAGGGAAAGAUUUAUUGGUAAGAGAUUAGCCUGUAUUGUAUCAGUUAGUUGGUGGGGUAAUGGCUUACCAAGACUAUGACACAUAACUGGUUUGAGAGGAUGAUCAGUCACACUGGAACUGAGACACGGUCCAGACUCCUACGGGAGGCAGCAGUGGGGAAUAUUGCACAAUGGACGAAAGUCUGAUGCAGCAACGCCGCGUGGAGGAUGACACAUUUCGGUGCGUAAACUCCUUUUAUAUGAGAAGAUAAUGACGGUAUUAUAUGAAUAAGCACCGGCUAACUCCGUGCCAGCAGCCGCAGUAA